rnacentral:misc_RNA from 1 species
GAUGAAGAACGUAGCGAAAUGCGAUAAGUAAUGUGAAUUGCAGAAUUCAGUGAAUCAUCGAAUCUUUGAACGCACAUUGCGCCCGCCAGUAUUCUGGCGGGCAUGCCUGUUCGAGCGUCAUUUCAACCAUCAAGCCCCCGGCUUGUGUUGGGGACCUGCGGCUGCCGCAGGCCCUGAAAACCAGUGGCGGGCUCGCUAGUCACUCCGAGCGUAGUAGAUUUUAUCUCGCUCAGGGCGUGCUGCGGGUUCCGGCCGUUAAAAAGCCUUUUUUACCCAAGGUUGACCUCGGAUCAGGUAGGAAUACCCGCUGAACUUAAGCAUAUCAAUAAGCGGAGGA